AGCUUUGCUUGUGGCAGUAUUAUAGCCUAUGAGGUCUAUCCAAAGCGUGAUUAUUGCUAGUUGAAAACUUUACCCAAAACCCCGCCUUGAUGACUUGAAAAAUAGUUGGCUAUGGUAAUUUUUUUUUUUUUUUAAACUAA
ensembl:snRNA U4 U4 spliceosomal RNA